rnacentral:rRNA from 1 species
CACAUCGACGGCGGUGUUUGGCACCUCGAUGUCGGCUCAUCACAUCCUGGGGGCGGAGCAGUUCCCAAGGGUAUGGCUGUUCGCCAUUUAAAGUGGUACGCGAGCUGGGUUUAGAACGUCGUGAGACAGUUCGGUCCCUAUCUGCCGUGGGCGCAGGAUAUUUGAGGAGAUCUGUCCUUAGUACGAGAGGACCGGGAUGGACGAACCUCUAGUGUACCAGUUGUCUCGCCAGAGGCAUCGCUGGGUAGCUAUGUUCGGCAGGGAUAAGCGCUGAAAGCAUCUAAGCGCGAAGCCCACUCCAAGAUAAGAUAUCCCGUGGGUUAACCCACCUGAAGGCUCCUUGUAGACUACGAGGUCGAUAGGUCGCAGGUGUAAGCGCAGCAAUGCGUUCAGCCGAGCGAUACUAAUCAGCCGUGCGGCUUGAUCAA